rnacentral:rRNA from 1 species
GGACUACCAGGGUAUCUAAUCCUGUUUGCUCCCCUAGCUUUCGCAGCUCAGCGUCAGUGAUGGCCCAGAAGCCUGCUUUCGCCAUAGGUAUUCCUCCCGAUAUCUACGCAUUUCACCGCUACACCGGGAAUUCCAGCUUCCUCUACCACACUCUAGCCCGACAGUUUCCCUUGACCUCUCCCAGUUGAGCCGGGAGCUUUCACAAAAGACUUAUCGAGCCGCCUACCUGCGCUUUACGCCUAGUGAUUCCGAGUAUCGCUUGCCACCUACGUAUUACCGCGGCUGCUGGCAC